rnacentral:tRNA from 1 species
CUUUGAUAGCUUAAAUUCUAGAGCAUAGCACUGAAGAUGCUAGGGUGGCAUAAAUGUCUUAAAGUA